UACGUAGGGGGCAAGCGUUGUCCGGAAUCAUUGGGCGUAAAGCGCGUGUAGGCGGCUCGGUAAGUCCGCUCUGAAAGUCCAGGGCUCAACCCUGGGAUGCGGGUGGAUACUGCCGGGCUCGAGUCCGGAAGAGGCGAGUGGAAUUCCCGGUGUAGCGGUGAUAUGCGUAGAUAUCGGGAGGAACACCAGUGGCGAAGGCGGCUUUCUGGGCAUUUCCUGACGCUGAGACGCGAAAGCGUGGGGAGCGAACCGG
rnacentral:rRNA from 1 species